rnacentral:rRNA from 1 species
UACAGAGGUCUCGAGCGUUAGGCGGAAUCACUGGGCUUAAAGCGUGUGUAGGUGGAUCGUUAAGUACCUUGUGAAAUCCCACAGCUUAACUGUGGAACUGCUUGGUAUACUGGCGGUCUUGAGCCAGCUAGGGGCUACCGGAACAAAUGGUGGAGCGGUGAAAUGCGUAGAUAUCAUUUGGAACGCCAAAGGUGAAAACAGGUAGCUGGGGCUGUGCUGACACUGAGACACGAAAGCCAGGGGAGCAAACGGG